rnacentral:rRNA from 1 species
AGUGAACGCUGGCGGUAGGCCUAACACAUGCAAGUCGAACGGCAGCACAGUAAGAGCUUGCUCUUACGGGUGGCGAGUGGCGGACCGGUGAGGAAUACAUCGGAAUCUACUUUUUCGUGGGGGAUAACGUAGGGAAACUUACGCUAAUACCGCAUACGACCUACGGGUGAAAGCAGGGGAUCUUCGGACCUUGCGCGAUUGAAUGAGCCGAUGUCGGAUUAGCUAGUUGGCGGGGUAAAGGCCCACCAAGGCGACGAUCCGUAGCUGGUCUGAGAGGAUGAUCAGCCACACUGGAACUGAGACACGGUCCAGACUCCUACGGGAGGCAGCAGUGGGGAAUAUUGGACAAAGGGCGCAAGCCUGAUCCAGCCAUACCGCGUGGGUGAAGAAGGCCUUCGGGUUGUAAAGCCCUUUUGUUGGGAAAGAAAAGCAGCAGGUUAAUACCCCGCUGUUCUGACGGUACCCAAAGAAUAAGCACCGGCUAACUUCGUG